rnacentral:rRNA from 1 species
ACGGAAGGCAGCAGUGGGGAAUAUUGCACAAUGGGCGCAAGCCUGAUGCAGCAACGCCGCGUGAGGGAAGACGGUUUUCGGAUUGUAAACCUCUGUUCUUGGUGACGAAGAAGUGACGGUAGCCAAGGAGAAAGCCACGGCUAACUACGUGCCAGCAGCCGCGGUAAUACGUAGGUGGCAAGCGUUAUCCGGAAUUACUGGGUGUAAAGGGCGCGUAGGCGGGGAUGCAAGUCAGGUGUGAAAUCUAUGGGCUUAACUCAUAAACUGCACUUGAAACUGUAUCUCUUGAGUGCUGGAGAGGUAGAUGGAAUUCCUUGUGUAGCGGUGAAAUGCGUAGAUAUAAGGAAGAACACCAGUGGCGAAGGCGAUCUACUGGACAGUAACUGACGCUGAGGCGCGAAAGCGUGGGGAGCAAACAGGAUUAGAUACCCUGGUA